rnacentral:rRNA from 1 species
GUCUAUGAGGAAUUUANNUUGCUAAUGGACUCAUGGCGGACGGGUGAGUAACGCGUAAAGAACUUGCCCUUUAGACUGGGAUAACAGAGGGAAACUUCUGAUAAUACUGGAUAAGUUAGUAUAUCGCAUGAUAUGCAAAUGAAAGCUACGGCACUAAAGGAGAGCUUUGCGUCCUAUUAGCUAGUUGGUAAGGUAAGAGCUUACCAAGGCGAUGAUAGGUAGCCGGCCUGAGAGGGUGGACGGCCACAAGGGGACUGAGAUACGGCCCUUACUCCUACGGGAGGCAGCAGUGGGGAAUAUUGGACAAUGGAGGGAACUCUGAUCCAGCAAUUCUGUGUGUGUGAAGAAGGUUUUAGGACUGUAAAACACUUUUAGUAGGGAAGAAAAAAAUGACGGUACCUACAGAAGAAGCAACGGCUAAAUACGUGCCAGCAGCCGCGGUAAUACGUAUGUUGCGAGCGUUAUCCGGAAUUAUUGGGCUUAAAGGGCAUCUAGGCGGUAAGACAAGUUGAAGGUGAAAACCUGUGGCUCAACCAUAGGCUUGCCUACAAAACUGUUGAACUAGAGUACUGGAAAGGUGGGUGGAACUACACGAGUAGAGGUGAAAUUCGUAGAUAUGUGUAGGAAUGCCGAUGAUGAAGAUAACUCACUGGACAGAAACUGACGCUGAAGUGCGAAAGCUAGGGGAGCAAACAGGAUUAGAUACCCUGGUAGUCCUAGCUGUA